CAAAGGUAUUUGGCGGUUUUAAUUAUCUUAUCAGAGGAAUUUGUUCUGUAAUCGAUAAUCCUCGUUAUAUUUUACCUUAUUAAUGGUUUGAAUAUCGCUGUAUAUUAUGUUAUUUUAAUAAAAUAUAGAUUAAUAUACUUCAAUAAUAUAAGUCAAGGUUCAGCUUUAUUUGGAUUGAAAUGAGUUACAAUAUUUUAUGUUGAAAUGUUCAUUAGAAUGUGAAUGUGAAAUUGGAUUUGAUAGUAA
rnacentral:rRNA from 1 species